UUUAACGCGGAUAGAUGAAUUGUGAUUUGAGCUAAAUUCAUUGUCCAGCGUUGAAC
rnacentral:pre_miRNA from 1 species